CAUACACAAACACAAACACUCAAGAUGAGCUUCUAAAACUCAUAAGCCAGUUGUUCAAGCAUUCCUUUCGGUCUGGAGUCAACGAUCGUGCUGUAGCUGAAUACCAGAUGCGAGUAAACUCUUUGACCGUGAUUUCUCUGUUUAAAGAAAUUUGUAUACCGGAGUGGUGUGGGUGGCUGAGAGAUUAUUAUGCAACAAGUGUUGGACAAUAUGAUGGGAGGAAGUUAUGAUAGUAAAU